rnacentral:lncRNA from 1 species
AUGACUGAAGAAGAGUUAGAGAUGCUGGCACGUCACCAGGACUUCAUCAUGCAGAAAGAACUUAAGGAAUUUGAGCAAGAUAAGAGGGUACAAAACAUAAAUCAACAAAUUACUGCACUUAAGCUGCAGAGUGAUUUAGUUGAUCAGAUUUUUGAAAAGGAAAAAAUCCAAGCUGAGAAGAUGGAAGAGAAAGCACGUUUAGAUAAGUUGAAGGGAUGCGACACUGGGAAAGACGGCAGGAUAACUGGUCAACGACACAGACAAAACUGCACUGAAAAUGCUAAGUACAUCAAAACACAGAUAGAAGAGCGCAAAAAGCAGGUGCAAAUAGAAGAAGAUAGGAAAAAGAGUUGUGAAAAGGAGUAUGCAGAAAUGGACCAGGAAUGUAUUCAGUCACACUUAAUGGCUAGGGAGGCCAAAAAGGCUGAAACAAAGUGGAAUGCCCAACAAAACUUACUUCUUACUAGGGAGAAAAAACGGGCGAAAAAGGAAGCAUUAGAGGGAGAAAUACAGGAAUCCCUUCAAAUCAAAGAUUGGAUCAAUAAGAAAGAUUCUCAACAGGCAGAAAUUGCUGCUAAAAAACAAAAACUCAAGCAGCUACGACAGAUACCUGUUGAUUUGGUGUCAGAUCAACUUAAAAGAAUAAAUCAGAACAUGAAACAGGACCAUGAAGCGGAAUUUAAACGACUCAAACGAAUCAAAGACGAUGAGUGGAAAAGAAAGCAAAAAGUGUUGGCUGAGAAUAAAGCAAAUAAGAUCAAGUCGUUGCAGAAAGGUUUGGCACAGCAGUUGGAAACAAAGACUCAAUGCAGGGUCACAGAACUUGCUCAUCAGCGAAAACAGCAAGAAAAUGAUGUCAAAGAACUUCAGGCCCACCUUGCCAAACAGAAACGGGAAGAUGAGAAGCGUCGACAGGAUUUGCUGACUCACAAAGAACUCCUGAAAAAGCAGGUGAAACAACAAGAGUCUUUGAAAAAACAAAAACUUAAUGAGGAAUUAAAUAAUGAAAAGAAACUUCUCAAUCGCCAAAAGUUAAAAUCCAAUCGGAUCGACGAAUACAUAGCGGACAAAAAUAAGGAAUAUGUAGAAAUCCGCAAUCAAGAAAACCUGUUACGUUUUCGAACCGGCAGCCACUAUCACCCUAGUUUAGCUAAUAAACCUGGGGAAAACAAAUCUGAUGGCAAAGUAGUUCUCCCCCCGAUUGGACCAAUAAGACAACAAAAGAAAAGACUAGUCCUUCCCACCACCCCCGAUCGUCUUCCAACACAGUCUUUCCUUCCACCUGUUGCUCCCAACAAAGGGAAACAAACCACCAACUACGCCUAUUACCAGCAAGUUACAAUAGGUAAGAGGAACACGGCUAGUCCCAGUAGCUCCCAACUCUAA